ACGGGGAUAGUAAUAUCCUAGUGGCAAACGGGUGAGUAACACGUGGGAAUCUGCCCAGUAGUGGGGAACAACUCCUCGAAAGAGGAGCUAAUACCGCAUACGGUCGCAAGACUAAAGCCUUCGGGCGCUAUUGGAGGAGCCUGCGGCUGAUUAGCUAGUUGGUGGGGUAACGGCCUACCAAGGCGGUGAUCAGUAGCUGGUCUGAGAGGAUGGACAGCCACACUGGGACUGAGAUACGGCCCAGACUCCUACGGGAGGCAGCAGCGAGGAAUUUUCCGCAAUGGGGGAAACCCUGACGGAGCAACGCCGCGUGAACGAAGAAGUCUUUCGGG
rnacentral:rRNA from 1 species